GGACUUUUGACUUGUUAACGGGUCAG
rnacentral:piRNA from 1 species